rnacentral:rRNA from 1 species
AUUGAACGCUGGCGGCAUGCCUUACACAUGCAAGUCGAACGGCAGCACGGGAGCAAUCCUGGUGGCGGGUGGCGAACGGGUGAGUAAAGUAUCGGAACGUGCCCAGUCGUGGGGGAUAACGUAGCGAAAGUUACGCUAAUACCGCAUACGAUCUAUGGAUGAAAGCGGGGGAUCGCAAGACCUCGCGCGAUUGGAGCGGCCGAUGGCAGAUUAGGUAGUUGGUAGGGUAAAGGCCUACCAAGCCGACGAUCUGUAGCUGGUCUGAGAGGAUGAUCAGCCACACUGGGACUGAGACACGGCCCAGACUCCUACGGGAGGCAGCAGUGGGGAAUUUUGGACAAUGGACGCAAGUCUGAUCCAGCCAUUCCGCGUGAAGGAUGAAGGCCCUCGGGUUGUAAACUGCUUUUGUACAGAACGAAAAGGCUCUGGUUAAUACCUAGGGCUCAUGACGGUACUGUAAGAAUAAGCACCGGCUAACUACGUGCCAGCAGCCGCCGUAA